rnacentral:rRNA from 1 species
CAGGGAUUGCCCUAGUAACGGCGAGUGAAGCGGCAACAGCUCAAAUUUGAAAUCUGGCCCUUGGGUCCGAGUUGUAAUUUGUAGAGGAUGCUUUUGGUACGGCGCCUUCCGAGUUCCCUGGAACGGGACGCCAUAGAGGGUGAGAGCCCCGUACGGUUGGAUGCCUAGCCUCUGUAAAGCUCUUUCGACGAGUCGAGUAGUUUGGGAAUGCUGCUCUAAAUGGGAGGUAAAUUUCUUCUAAAGCUAAAUACCGGCCAGAGACCGAUAGCGCACAAGUAGAGUGAUCGAAAGAUGAAAAGCACUUUGAAAAGAGGGUUAAAUAGCACGUGAAAUUGUUGAAAGGGAAGCGCUUAUGACCAGACUUUUACCUGGCGGAUCAUCCGGCGUUCUCGCCGGUGCACUUCGCUAGGUUGAGGCCAGCAUCGAUUUUUGUAGGGGGAUAAAGACUUCGGGAAAGUAGCUCUCUCCGGGGAGUGUUAUAGCCCGCUGUGUAAUACCCUUACGGGGAUCGAGGUUCGCGCUCUGCAAGGAUGCUGGCAUAAUGGUCAUCAGUGACCCGUCUUGAAACACGGACCAAGGAGUCGAACAUUUAUGCGAGUGUUUGGGUGUUAAACCCUCACGCGUAAUGAAAGUGAACGGAGGUGAGAGCCCUUAAGGGUGCAUCAUCGACCGAUCCUGAAGUCUUCGGAUGGAUUUGAGUAAGAGCAUAACUGUUCGGACCCGAAAGAUGGUGAACUAUGCGUGGAUAGGGUGAAGCCAGAGGAAACUCUGGUGGAGGCUCGCAGCGGUUCUGACGUGCAAAUCGAUCGUCAAAUCUGCGCAUGGGGGCGAAAGACUAAUCGAACCAUUAACGGAGAGACCAGCGGUAAAUAAUUAUUUACUAGGUGGUUAAUAGGCUUCUUGCGAGAGGAAGCCUAGGUCGGACUUACCCGGGAUGAACCGGGUAACCCUUACCCGGGACCUACCCGGUAGCUCCCUACCCGGGAGUUACCCUGUAGUACCGGGUAGCCGGCCGACACCGCUAAAUUGCGGGGACAUCCUACAGAAGGCUCCAGGCUACCGCCGCGUGCUGAAAAGCGUCCGCGGCACCAAGAAUAGCGCUCUUGKGUAUGGUAAAAACGCCUGGGGUAUCGGACGACCUGCAGCCAACCCCGCCAGCCCUAGAAGGGCCCAGGGGAGAGUUCACUGACUAAACAGCGGUGGGUCUUGCGGCGAGAGCCGUAGGGCUUWAGACAUAGUCGAUCUGGGCCCUGAAAAGGUGACCCUAAAGUAU